AAUUGAUUUGACAGAUUAUUGUAUUAAUUUUAGAUUUUAAUUAAGUGUAUUUUUGCACAUUCAAU
rnacentral:tRNA from 1 species